rnacentral:rRNA from 1 species
CUGGCUCAGGAUGAACGCUAGCGGCAGGCUUAACACAUGCAAGUCGAGGGGCAGCGCGGGGUAGCAAUACUCUGGCGGCGACCGGCGGAAGGGUGCGUAACGCGUGAGCAACAUACCCGUAUGAGGGGGAUAAGCGAUGGAAACGUCGUCUAAUACCCCGUAACAACAGAGACGGCAUCGUCUUCGUUUGAAAGAUUUAUCGCAUACGGAUUGGCUCGCGUGACAUUAGCUAGUUGGCGGGGUAACGGCCCACCAAGGCGACGAUGUCUAGGGGUUCUGAGAGGAAGGUCCCCCCACACUGGAACUGAGACACGGUCCAGACUCCUACGGGAGGCAGCAGUGAGGAAUAUUGGUCAAUGGGCGGAAGCCUGAACCAGCCAUGCCGCGUGAAGGAAUAAGGCCCCUAUGGGUCGUAAACUUCUUUUGUGGUGGAGCAAUAAGGGUGUCGCGCACAUCCGAUGAGAGUACAUCACGAAUAAGCAUCGGCUAACUCCGUGCCAGCCGCGGC